rnacentral:rRNA from 1 species
AUUGGACGCUAGCGGCAUGCCUUACACAUGCAAGUCGAACGGCAGCGGGGGAGCUUGCUCCCGCCGGCGAGUGGCGAACGUGUGAGUAAUACAUCGGAACGUACCCAGUAGCGGGGGAUAGCCCGGCGAAAGCCGGAUUAAUACCGCAUACGCCCUACGGGGGAAAGGGGGGGAUCGCAAGACCUCUCACUAUUGGAGCGGCCGAUGGCUGAUUAGCUAGUUGGUGGGGUAAAGGCCUACCAAGGCGACGAUCAGUAGCUGGUCUGAGAGGACGACCAGGCACACUGGGACUGAGGCACGGCCCAGACUCCUACGGGAGGCAGCAGUGGGGAAUUUUGGACAAUGGGCGAAAGCCUGAUUCAGCAAUGCCGCGUGUGCGAAGAAGGCCUUCGGGUUGUAAAGCACUUUUGUCAGGGAAGAAAUCGUUUGGGUUAAUACCCCGAGCAGUUGACGGUACCUGAAGAAUAAGCACCGGCUAACUACGUGCCAGCCGCCGCCGUAA